CACGUAACGCAUUAAAUAUAAAAGAAAAAAAAAUGUUUAUAAUAUAAUCAUUUGCAUAAGAUAAAAAAUAAUAAAUUAUUCAAAAUCAAUUUUUUUAUAAGAAAAAAAAAAUGAAUAAUCAUCGUAUCAACAAACCAAUUGCUAUUGUAGAACCUUAUAACGCGCAAGAUGAUAUGGUAGAGGAAUACAACAUCAUCAUCUAUUAGUACCUCAUUUACAAUAAGUUGGAUUAACUCCUUUUAGAUUUUGUUGCUGAGUUAGUGAUGAUGUAUUUUUUUGAAAUCCUUUUUUGUAGCUCGUUCAGUACAGAAUUUUAUUUGCUUAAACAAAACGUUUCUUUUGUGUGGUUAGUUAAACACUUCUUUGUAA